rnacentral:lncRNA from 1 species
GAAAUGUUUACUUCUAUUUUCUUUUGCUUGUUAUUUGUACCAUUUUUCUUACAAUGUUUUUCUCAAAUGAUUCCUAAUUACAUCAACUUUUUAAUUGACAAAUAGAAAUGGUAUAUAUUUAUGGUGUACAACAUAAUGUUUUGAUAUAUGUAUACAUAGAUACCCAGUAAUGGGAUUGCUGGAUCAAAUUGUAGCUCUACUUUUAGUUCUUUAAGGAAUCUCCACACUGUUUUCCAUAGUGGUUGUACUAGUUUGCAUUCCCACCAGCUGUGUAAAAGUGUUCCCUUUUCACCACAUUCAUUCCAACAUCUGUUAUUUUUUGACAUUUUAGUAAUAGCCAUUCUAAGUAGGGUAAGAUGAGGUUUUAUUGUGGUUUUGAUUUGCAUUCCUCUGAUGAUUAGUGAUGUUCAGCAUUUUUUCAUAUACCUGUUGGCCAUUUGCAUAUCUUCUUUUGAGAAUUGUGUAUUCAUGUCCUUGGCCCACUUUUUGAUGGAAUUGCUUGUUUAUUUCUUGCUGAUUUGUUUGAGUUCCUUGUAGAUUCUGGAUAUUAGUCCUUUGUUAGAUGCAUAGUUUGUGAGGAUUUUCUCCCACUCGAUAGGUUGUCUGUUUACUCUGCUGAUUAUUUCUUUUGCUGUGCAGAAACUUUUUAGUUUAAUUAAGUCUUAUCUAUUUAUCUUUGGUUUUGUUGCAUUUGCUUUUGGGUUCUUGGUCAUAAACUCUUUGCCUAAGCCAAAGUGUAGAAGGGUUUUUUCCCAUGUUAUCUUCUAGAAUUUUUAGAGUUUCAAGUUACAGAUUUAAGUCUUUGAUCCAUCUUGAGUUGAUUUUUGUAUAAGGUGAUAAAUUAUGAACCAGUUUCAUUCUUCUACAUGUGGCUUGCCACUUAUCCCAGCACUAUUUAUUGAAUAGGACAUCCUUUUCCCACUUUAUGUUUUUGUUUGCUUUGUUGAAGAUCAGUUGGCUGUAAGUAUUUAGCUUUACUUCUGGGUUCUCUAUUCUGUUCCAUUGGUCCACGUGCUUAUUUUUAUACUACUGUCAUGUUGUUUUGAUAACUAUAGCCUCGUAGUAUAGUUUGACAUCAGGUAACAUGAUCCCUCCAGAUUUGGUCUUUUUGCUUAUUCUUGCUUUGGCUAUGUGGGCUCUUUUUUGGUUACACAUUAAUUUUAGGAUUGUUUUUUCCAGUUCUGUGAAGAAUGAUGAUGGUAUUUUGAUGGGAAUUACAUUGAAUUUAUAAAUGACUUUUGGCAGUAAGAUCAUUUUCACAAUAUUGAUUCUGUCCAUCCGUGAGCAUGGGAUGUAUUUUCAUUUGUGUUGUCAACAAUUUCUUUCAGCAGUGUUUUGCAGUUUUCCAUGUAGAGACCUUUCACCUCCUUGGCUAAGUAUAUUCCUAAGGUUUGGUUUGGUUUGGUUUUUGCAGUCAUUAUAAAAGGGAUUAAGUUCUUGAUUUGUUUCUCAGCUUGGUUGUUGGUGUACAGCAGUGCUACUGUGUACAUUUGGUAUCCUGAAACUUUACUGAAUUCAUUCAUCAGAUCGAGGAGCUUUUUAGAUGAGUCUUUAGAGUUUCCUAGGUAUACAAUCAUAUGAUCAGUGAACAAUGACAGUUUGACUUUCUCUUUACUGAUUUAGAUGCCCUUUAUUUCUCUCUCUUGUCUUUUUGCUCUGGCUAGGCCUUUCAAUACUAUGUUGAAUAGAAUGGUGAAAGUGGCCAACCUUGUCUUGUUCCAGUUUUCAAUGGGAAUACUUUCAACUUUUCCCUGUUCCAUAUAAUGUUGGCUGUGGGUUUGUCAUAGGUGGCUUUUAUUACCUUGAGGUAUGUCCCUUUUAUGCCAAUUUUGUUGAGGGUUUUAAUCAUAAAGGGAUGCUGGAUUUAGUCAAAUGCUUUUUCUGAGUCUAUUGAGAUGAUCACAUAAUUCUUAAUUCUGUUUGUGUGAUGUAUCUCUUUUAUUGUCUUACAUACGUUAAAACAUCCCUGCAUCCCUAAUAUGAAACCCACUUGAUCAUGGUGUAUUAUCUUCUUAAUAUUCUGUUGGAUUCGGUUAGCUAUGUAUUGCAUCAGGAUUUUUCCAUCUAUGUUCCUCAAGGAUUGGUCUGUAGUUUUCUUUUUCUUUUUUUUUUUUUUUUUGUUAUGUCCUUUCCUUGUUUUGGUAUUAGGGUGAUACUGGCUUCAUGAAAUAAUUAGAAAGGAUCCCCUUUCUCUCUAUCUUUUGGAAUAGUUUCAGUAAUAUUGGUAUCAAUUUUUCUUUUAAUGUCUGAUAGAAUUCAGCUGUGAGUCCAUCUGGUUCUAGACUUUUUUUGUUGGCAACUUUUUCAUUACUGUUUAAGUCUCACUACUUGAUUUUGGUCUGUUCAGAGUUUCUAUUUCUUCCUGAUUUAAUCUAAGAGGGUUGGUUAUUUCCAGGCAUUUUCCAUCUCCUGUAGAUUUUCUAGUUUGUUCACAUAAAGGUGUUCAUAGUAGCCUUGAAUGAUCUUUUGUAUUUCUGUGGCAUUGGUUGUAAUAUCUCCCACUUUAUUUCUAAUUAAGCUUAUUUGUACCUUUUCUCUUCUUUUCUUGGUUAAUCUUGCUAAUGGUCUAUCAAAUUUUUUAUCUUUUCAAAGAAGCAGCUUCUUGUUUCAUUUAUCUUUUGUAUUGUUUUUGUUUCUAUUUUAUUUAUUUCUGCUCAAAUUUUUCUUAUUUCUUUUCUUCUACUGGCUUUGAGUUUGGCUUGUUCUUUUUUCUCUAGUUCCUUGAGGUGUGACCUUAGAUUGUCUAUUUGUGGUCUUUCAGACUUCUUGAUGUAGACACAUCCCUCAUUGAUGCAAUGAACUUUCCUCUAGCACCACUUUUGUUGUAUCCCAGAGGUUUUGAUAAGAUGUGUCACUAUUAUUGCUCAGUUCAAAUAAUUUUUUAAUUUCCAUCUUAAUUUUAUUGUUAAGACAAAGAUCAUUCAAGAGAAGAUUAUUUAAUUUCUAUGUAUAUGUAUAGUUUUGAGGGUUCAUUUUGGAGUUAAUUUCCAGUUUUAUUCCACUGUGGUCUGAGAGGAUACUUUAUAUAAUUUCAAUUUUCUUAAAUGUAUUGUGACUGGUUUUGUGACCUAUCAUAUGGUUUAUCUUGAAGAAUAUUCUAUGUGCUGAUGAAAAGGAUGUAUAUUCUCCAGCCGUUAGGUCGAAUGUUCUGUAAAUAUCUGUUAAGUCCAUUUGUUCUAGGUGAUAGAUUAAGUCCAUUGUUUCUUUGUUGACUUUCCAUCUUGAUGACCUGCCUAGUGCUGUCAGUAGAGUAUUGAAGUCCCCCACUAUUACUGUGUUGCCAUCUAUCUUAUUUUUUAGGUCUAGUAGUAACUGUCUUAUAAAUUUGGGAGGUCCAUUGUUACGUGCAUAUACAUUUAGGAUUGUGAUAUUUUCCUGUUGGACUUAUCCUUUUAUCAUUAUAGAAUGUCUGUCUUUGUCUUUUUUUUACUGUUGUUGCAUUAACGUCUGUUUCGUUUAAUAUAAGAAUAGCUAGUCCUGCUAGCUUUCAGUUUCCAUUUGCAUGGAAUAACUUUUUCCACUCCUUUACCUUAAGUUUAUAUGAGUCCUUAUGUGUGAGUCUCCUAAAGGCAGCAGAUACUUGGUUGAUGAAUUUUUAUCCAUUCUGCUAUCCUGUGUUCUUUAAGUGGAGAAUUUAGGCCAUUUACAUUCAAUGUUAGUAUUGAGAUGUGAGGUACUGUUCUAUUCAUCAUGUUAAUUGUUGCCUAAAUAACUUUUCUUUUCAUUGUGAUAUUGUUUCAUAGGCCCUGUGAGAUUUAUGCUUUAAGGAGGUUCAUUUUGAUAUAUAUUUCAAGGUUUUGCUUCAAGAAUUAGAAUUCCUUUUAGCAUUUCUUGUAGUGCCGCAUUGGUAGUGGUGAAUUCUCUCAGCAUUUAUUUGUCUGAAAAAGACUAUCUCUCCUUCAUUUAUGAAGCUUAGUUUUGGUGAAUAAAAAAUUCUUGGCUGACAUUUAUUUUGUUUCAGGAGGACCCCACUCCCUUCUGGCUUGUAAAAUUUCUGCUGAGGAAUCUGUGGUUCAUCUGACAGGUUUAACUUAUAGGUUCCUGAUGCUUUUGUCUCACAGCUCUUAACAUUUUUUCCUUCAUCUUGACUUUAGAUAACCAGAUGACUAUGUAUGUACCUAGGUGGUGAUCUUUUUAUAAUGAAUUUCCCAGGUAUUCUUUGGGCUUCUUGUAUUUGGAUGUCUAGAUCUCUAGCAAGGCCAGGGAAGCAUUCUUCCAUUAUUUCCUCAAAUAUGUUUUUGAAACUUUUAGAUUUCUCUUUUUCCUCAGAAAAAUAAGUUAGUCUUAGAUUUGGCCAUAUAACAUAAACUUAAAUUUCUCGGAGGCAUUUUAAUUUUUUUCUGAUAUUUUUUUCUUAGUAUAUGUCUGAUUGGGUUAAUUUGAAAGCCUUUUCUUUGAGCUCUGAAGUUCUUUCUACUUUUUCUUGUCUAUUGUUGAAACUUUCCAGUGCAUUUUGUAUUUCUCUAAGUGUGUCUUUCAUUUCCAGAUGUUUUGAUUAUUUUUUCUUUAUGGUAUCUAUUUCUCUGGAAAAUUUUUAUGCAUAUUCUGUGGUUUUUUUUUUAAUUCUUUAAGUUGGGUUUCACCUUUCACUGGUAUCUCCUUGAGUAGCUUAAUAAACAACCUUCUGAAUUCUUAAUCUGGCAAUUCAAAGGUUUCUUUUUGGUUUGGAUCUAUUGCUGGGGAGCUAGUAUGAUAAUUUCAAGGUGUUAGAGAACCUUGUUUUUUCAUAUUACAAGAAUUACUUUUCUG